AUUGAACGCUGGCGGCAGGCUUAACACAUGCAAGUCGAACGAGUGGCGGACGGGUGAGUAAUGUAUGGGAAUCUGGCUUAUGGAGGGGGAUAACUACUGGAAACGGUAGCUAAUACCGCGUACCAUCAGAUGAGCCCAAGUGGGAUUAGGUAGUUGGUGAGGUAAAGGCUCACCAAGCCGACGAUCCCUAGCUGGUCUGAGAGGAUGACCAGCCACACUGGGACUGAGACACGGCCCAGACUCCUACGGGAGGCAGCAGUGGGGAAUAUUGCGCAAUGGGGGCAAGCCUGAUACAGCCAUGCCGCGUGUAUGAAGAAGGCCUUCGGGUUGUAAAGUUCUUUCGGUAGCGAGGCGUUACCUACAGAAGAAGCACCGGCUAACUCCGUGCCAGCCGCCGCGGUAAUUC
rnacentral:rRNA from 1 species